rnacentral:rRNA from 1 species
ACGGGAGGCAGCAGUGGGGAAUAUUGGGCAAUGGGCGAAAGCCUGACCCAGCGACGCCGCGUGAAGGAAGAAGGCCCUCGGGUUGUAAACUUCAGUCAACAGGGAAGAAACAAAUGACGGUACCUGUGGAGGAAGCCACGGCUAACUACGUGCCAGCAGCCGCGGUAAUACGUAGGGGGCAAGCGUUAUCCGGAUUUACUGGGUGUAAAGGGAGCGUAGACGGUUUGGCAAGUCUGAAGUGAAAUGCGGGGGCUCAACUCCUGAACUGCUUUGGAAACUGUCGAACUAGAGUGCAGGAGAGGUAAGUGGAAUUCCUAGUGUAGCGGUGAAAUGCGUAGAUAUUAGGAGGAACACCAGUGGCGAAGGCGGCUUACUGGACUGUAACUGACGUUGAGGCUCGAAAGCGUGGGGAGCAAACAGGAUUAGAUACCCUGGUA